CCAAUAGCGUAUAUUAAAGUUGUUGCAAUUAAAAAGCUCGUAGUUGAAUUUCGGGAUCAGUACGCUGGUCGUGCCUCUGGUAUGUACUGGUGUCACUGAUUCCUCCCUUCUGACGAACCAUCAUGCCAUUCACUUGGUGUGGUGGGGAAUCAGGACUGUUACUUUGAAAAAAUUAGAGUGUUUAAAGCAGGCUCACGCUUGAAUACAUUAGCAUGGAAUAAUGAAAUAGGACGUUGAUCCUAUUUUGUUGGUUUCUAGGAUUGACGUAAUGAUUAAUAGGGAUAGUUGGGGGCAUUAGUAUUCAAUUGUCAGAGGUGAAAUUCUUGGAUUUAUUGAAGACUAACUACUGCGAAAGCAUUUGCCAAGGAUGUUUUCAUUAAUCAAGAACGAAAGUUAGGGGAUCGAAGACGAUCAGAUACCGUCGUAGUCUUAACCAUAAACUAUGCCGACUAGGGAUCGGAUGAUGUUAAUUUUUUAAUGACUCAUUCGGCGCCUUACG
rnacentral:rRNA from 1 species